CAUGAGACUACGAAAGCUCUUAUUACACACACACACACACACACGCACCCCCUCCCUCUCAGGUUCAAACGCUUUCCCUUCUUUCGCUUCUUUGUUCUCAUUUUGUGCGCUUUUUUGAAGCUGUUUUUUUUUUUGUUGUUUUGCGCAGUUGUGUGCGUGGCGCGAAAGGAAAGGAAAACAAAAUCAUGUACCUGUCUGUUUGUGUGUGUGUAUGCAUGUGAGGAGGCGUGGUGCGGGGUGCGGAUGUGAACAUGGGUAUGUUGUCUGCGUCGUUACUUUUACGAGUGUGUCCUGUGCGCAGUAGUUGACUGUAUGGAAGCAUGAUGGAGCAGUGCGCUGUAUCGCGCUUCCACCGCACAUUCUGCAAGUUUGAACAUGUAUGUAACACUAAGCCAGACAUCCACACCUACACGCAACUCCUACGCGUCGAGGCACGCAAACACACACAGAUACACGCAGAGAAAUCCACAUUCUCUUAUGACUGCGCUUUUUCUUUUUUUUUUCACCGCGUUUCAGAGCUCCCCAACUCUACGUACACUCCUUCUUGUUCCAUCUCUCUGUCUCCUUUCCAAUCGGUCUAUCCUUAUCUGCCGCCCGCUCUACUCAUUCUUUUUCCCUGCUUACGGCGCACCGAUCUACUCAAUACUAUACCCGCUGUACUUCCUCCCUCUCAGCACCCACGCCCGCACGCGAUGGUGGAGAAAAAGACAAACCGCUAACGGGCAUCCGCGGAUGCGUGUGCUUGCGUUGGUGCGGGUAGAGGCGUAGGAUGUAGAGGGAAGGGCUUUCGUAAUGCGAUGGGUAAGCGAAAAAAGAAAGACUGCGUUGCUGAGCAAGGAAACGGCACUUUGGCGCUCGAUUCGUGUUUCAGGACAGAAGCAAGACAGAAUGCGAAGAGGCGAGAAAAGAAAGAAAGGAGGAGGACUAUAGCAACAACGAGCGACGAGGAAAUCGCAGGGGGACUGGCAGUGGUGGCUCUGAGGUGCAAAAAAAAAGCUGUCGAGAUGUGGAUGACCCCCUUACAUACGCAUGCGCGCACGCGCUCUUUCUCUCUGUCCUUCCGCCCAUUUUGCUCGAGCUAUGACAUGCACACUUACUCGACUAGAAGGACGCAGAGCUCGGCGAGGAAGCAACGUUCAACUCGAGGGUC
rnacentral:misc_RNA from 1 species